rnacentral:misc_RNA from 1 species
GCAAAAUAUCGACUAGCAGGUCAGAACUGCAUAAAUAAUCCUUCAAGUAAAAGUCUAUUCAUGUACUGAAAACCAACACUUGCUAUUUCUGCCAAAAAAAUUAUAUGAAUUAGGGAUGCUUCCUUCCACAAAUCUAAAUUUUGAUGCUUCUCAAAGUAUACUAAUGUUUUGGAGAACUAUGAAGACAAAAAAGCUGUUGGCAACAUGGCUUGUACUGAAGGUGUAUUGUUUGUCCUUCAUGAAUUCAACUUCCAGCUUAUUCCCAUGAGUAUUGCUCAUUUCUCAAGCUUUGCUGAUUGCUAGGGUAAGCUCUUUCCUGCCGAGGAGUUUGUCUAUAAUAACCAUUUCCCCUUGAUCUGCCAUAAUCACGGUCACCUCCGUCUUGACCACCUCUCCCAAAACCACGGCCACCAUAGCGCCCCCUUCCGUCCAUGGAGUAGCUAACUCUGCCUCUACCCCUUCCUCUUCCUCGAAUUAAGUUAUUUCUGUUCGGUCUCCUUCCUUCAAUGUACAACUGGUGUCCACCAAUCUGAACAGUAGAUGCCUCAAUUGCAUUCUGAACCCCAGUUACAUCUUCAAAUUCGACAAAUGCAUAGCAUACAUCAAUGUCCUUUCGCGUUCUAAUGGCAACAGCAUCAGGCUUUAAUUUACCAAACUUUUUGAAUUCCUCCUCAAUUUCAUAAGCAGCCAUUGUGGUAGGAACAUUUUUGACAUAUACAGACUUGACUUCAACUUCAUCUUCAACAGCUGAAGCCUCUUCUGUUGCCUCAGUAUACCUCUCAAUAGUAUUAGUCGAAUGAACUGAUGGCAAAGCAGGAGGCUCUGGCACAUGUUGCCACUCUGAAGGAGGAGGUGUAGAUUUGUUGAGAGAAGACUGUGCCAGUCCUUGUGCAGAAUUCCCUUUAGUAACUUGUAGAAUAGAAGCAUAAGUAUGCUUUUGGGGCUCUGCAACAGGUUCCUCAACAGGGCAGGAUAAAUGGUCUUGUACUGCAUUAAUUGUACUCUGAAGUGGGCCGUUCGACUGAACCGCAAAAUUAUCUUCAAGGAUAUUCUCAGCUUCAGAGACAUGCUGAAGCCGUUCCUCCGGAAAACUAUAGUUAUUGACUGGCCCGUUAUCUUCAAUUUUAGGAGCAUCAACAAACUCCCUUGCUUGGAUUUCUCCACCAAACAUGUAGUUGGGCACUUGCUCCUGAAGUGCAUUGGAAACAUUCAGCUUUGAAUCAAGGUUCGAAUGUGCUAGAUAGGCCAAUGGUUGCUGAAGAAUUUGCUCCUCAUCAACAUAGUGAAAGAUAUCAUUGAGGACAAAGUAUCCUUUUUCCUGGGGUGCAAGGAAAAAUGAUUGAACGAACUUCCUACUCCUAUUGAUACCUUUCACACUGACAGAACCUGAAACCAUCACAAGGACACCACCAUUCCAUGAUUCCAAGGAAUGGAGUGUUUUUAUCUCUAUUCCAG